rnacentral:tRNA from 1 species
UAACUCAGUUGGUAAAGAAUCUGCCUGCAAUGCAGGAGACCCAGGUUCGAUUCCUGG